AUUGAACGCUGGCGGUAUGCUUAACACAUGCAAGUCGGACGAUGAGGGGGCGCUUGCGCCCCCGAUUAGUGGCGGACGGGUGAGUAACGCGUAGGAACCUGCCCCGUAGUGGGGGACAACGUGGGGAAACCCACGCUAAUACCGCAUACGCUCCCCCUUGGGGGAGGAAAGCGGGGGACCGCAAGGCCUCGCGCUAUGGGAUGGGCCUGCGUGGGAUUAGCUAGUUGGCGGGGUAAAGGCCCACCAAGGCGACGAUCCCUAGCUGGUCUGAGAGGACGACCAGCCACACUGGGACUGAGACACGGCCCAGACUCCUACGGGAGGCAGCAGUGGGGAAUAUUGGGCAAUGGGCGCAGGCCUGACCCAGCAAUGCCGCGUGUGUGAAGAAGGCCUGAGGGUUGUAAAGCACUUUCAGUGGGGAGGAAAAAGCGUGGGCGAACACCCUGCGCCUUGACAUUACCCACAGAAGAAGCACCGGCUAACUCCGUGCCAGCAGCCGCCGU
rnacentral:rRNA from 1 species